rnacentral:rRNA from 1 species
AUUGAACGCUGGCGGCAUGCUUUACACAUGCAAGUCGAACGGUAACAGGCCGCAAGGUGCUGACGAGUGGCGAACGGGUGAGUAAUGCAUCGGAACGUGCCCAGUCGGGGGGGAUAACGCAGCGAAAGCUGUGCUAAUACCGCAUACGAUCUAUGGAUGAAAGCGGGGGACCGUAAGGCCUCGCGCGAUUGGAGCGGCCGAUGGCAGAUUAGGUAGUUGGUGGGGUAAAGGCUCACCAAGCCAACGAUCUGUAGCUGGUCUGAGAGGACGACCAGCCACACUGGGACUGAGACACGGGCCAGACUCCUACGGGAGGCAGCAGUGGGGAAUUUUGGACAAUGGGCGCAAGCCUGAUCCAGCAAUGCCGCGUGCAGGAAGAAGGCCUUCGGGUUGUAAACUGCUUUUGUACGGAACGAAAAGGUUUGGGUUAAUACCCUGGGCCGAUGACGGUACCGUAAGAAUAAGCACCGGCUAACUACGUGCCAGCCGCCGCCGUAAGAC